GAUGAACACUGGCGGCGUGCCUAAUACAUGCAAGUCGAGCGAACGGACGAGAAGCUUGCUUCUCUGAUGUUAGCGGCGGACGGGUGAGUAACACGUGGAUAACCUACCUAUAAGACUGGGAUAACUUCGGGAAACCGGAGCUAAUACCGGAUAAUAUUUUGAACCGCAUGGUUCAAAAGUGAAAGACGGUCUUGCUGUCACUUAUAGAUGGAUCCGCGCUGCAUUAGCUAGUUGGUAAGGUAACGGCUUACCAAGGCAACGAUGCAUAGCCGACCUGAGAGGGUGAUCGGCCACACUGGAACUGAGACACGGUCCAGACUCCUACGGGAGGCAGCAGUAGGGAAUCUUCCGCAAUGGGCGAAAGCCUGACGGAGCAACGCCGCGUGAGUGAUGAAGGUCUUCGGAUCGUAAAACUCUGUUAUUAGGGAAGAACAUAUGUGUAAGUAACUGUGCACAUCUUGACGGUACCUAAUCAGAAAGCCACGGCUAACUACGUGCCAGCAGCCGCGGUAAUACGUAGGUGGCAAGCGUUAUCCGGAAUUAUUGGGCGUAAAGCGCGCGUAGGCGGUUUUUUAAGUCUGAUGUGAAAGCCCACGGCUCAACCGUGGAGGGUCAUUGGAAACUGGAAAACUUGAGUGCAGAAGAGGAAAGUGGAAUUCCAUGUGUAGCGGUGAAAUGCGCAGAGAUAUGGAGGAACACCAGUGGCGAAGGCGACUUUCUGGUCUGUAACUGACGCUGAUGUGCGAAAGCGUGGGGAUCAAACAGGAUUAGAUACCCUGGUAGUCCACGCCGUAAACGAUGAGUGCUAAGUGUUAGGGGGUUUCCGCCCCUUAGUGCUGCAGCUAACGCAUUAAGCACUCCGCCUGGGGAGUACGACCGCAAGGUUGAAACUCAAAGGAAUUGACGGGGACCCGCACAAGCGGUGGAGCAUGUGGUUUAAUUCGAAGCAACGCGAAGAACCUUACCAAAUCUUGACAUCCUUUGACAACUCUAGAGAUAGAGCCUUCCCCUUCGGGGGGGGCAAAGUGACAGGUGGUGCAUGGUUGUCGUCAGCUCGUGUCGUGAGAUGUUGGGUUAAGUCCCGCAACGAGCGCAACCCUUAAGCUUAGUUGCCAUCAUUAAGUUGGGCACUCUAAGUUGACUGCCGGUGACAAACCGGAGGAAGGUGGGGAUGACGUCAAAUCAUCAUGCCCCUUAUGAUUUGGGCUACACGCGUGCUACAAUGGACAAUACAAAGGGCAGCGAAACCGCGAGGUCAAGCAAAUCCCAUAAAGUUGUUCUCAGUUCGGAUUGUAGUCUGCAACUCGACUACAUGAAGCUGGAAUCGCUAGUAAUCGUAGAUCAGCAUGCUACGGUGAAUACGUUCCCGGGUCU
rnacentral:rRNA from 1 species